rnacentral:misc_RNA from 1 species
CUAGUUCGACAGCGGCAA